UAGGCCCGAAGAUUUUGUAAGCACUUCACACAAUGGGGAGCUUGCUUUGUGAAAUUGGGACCUUUUAGAAACAAUCACAAAUAUAUUAUAUUAUAAGCUACUUAUGAAUUAUGAGUUAUAUGUCGGUGUAAUAUAUUUGGAUGAUCAUGUAUUUAUUGGUUUGUAUCAGUAACAUAUUUUUUAUUAUACGAUAGUGAUGAGAAAGAGUGGAAGAUGAGCAUGCCACACAGAUGGGCAGUGAUAGUCUCCCCUCUGUUUUUUAAUCUACUUUAAUCACUUUUUGAUAUCAGAAAUUAUUUUUUAUCCAACAGGUGCAUAUGCAAGAUGACAAGGACAGAAGAACAUGUACAUAUGCAAGGUGAUAAGGACAUAAGAACAUGUACAUAUGCAAGGUGACAAGGACAGGGAGAACACAAAAGUUGCCGAAGAACAAUAUGGUUAUUCUCUCAGGGCGACGUACUGAUAUUGGAGCAGAACGUAGGAACAAAGGAGCGAGCAGAUUGAGAGGGGCCUUGGCAGGGACGAUAAAGCAUAUAAAUUACCGGACAUGCGAAGAGCUCUUCGAGAUAUAGGGCGUAGGCACAUUGCUAGCGAGGUUGGCAGGCAAUGUAUUCUCUCCACCUCUAAUACCUAUUGGAAAGUACUUACAUUUAUAGCAUUUCUUGGGACUGUAAUAUUUUUUUGUUUCAAAAUGAUUUUUUAUUGAGAUGGGAAAAGAGUUCUGUGUUAGAACAAUCCUUGAGAUGAUGUAGUUUUUGAGGGUUUUGUAAGAUUGAUAUAAAGUGGAUGACACAUGGAGUCGACCUUGAGGGUGGAGGGAUACUAUUAUCUUGA